rnacentral:rRNA from 1 species
UUCCAGGAAAAGCCACUAAGCUUCAGGUUUAUCUAAACCGUACUGAAAACCGACACAGGUGGUCAGGUAGAGAAUACUCAGGCGCUUGAGAGAACUCGGGUGAAGGAACUAGGCAAAAUAGCACCGUAACUUCGGGAGAAGGUGCGCUUACAGUAAUUGUAGUCCCUCGCGGAUGAAGGUGAAGUAAGUCGAAGAUACCAGCUGGCUGCAACUGUUUAUUAAAAACACAGCACUCUGCAAACACGAAAGUGGACGUAUAGGGUGUGAUGCCUGCCCGGUGCUGGAAGGUUAAUUGAUGGUGUUAUCGAAAGAGAAGCUCCUGAUCGAAGCCCCAGUAAACGGCGGCCGUAACUAUAACGGUCCUAAGGUAGCGAAAUUCCUUGUCGGGUAAGUUCCGACCUGCACGAAUGGCAUAAUGAUGGCCAGGCUGUCUCCACCCGAGACUCAGUGAAAUUGAAAUCGCCGUGAAGAUGCGGUGUACCCGCGGCUAGACGGAAAGACCCCGUGAACCUUUACUAUAGCUUGACACUGAACAUUGAAUUUUGAUGUGUAGGAUAGGUGGGAGCCUUUGAAGCAGUGACGCCAGUCAUUGUGGAGGCGACCUUGAAAUACCACCCUUUAACGUUUGAUGUUCUAACGAAGUGCCUGAAACGGGUACUCGGACAGUGUCUGGUGGGUAGUUUGACUGGGGCGGUCUCCUCCCAAAGCGUAACGGAGGAGCACGAAGGUUUGCUAAUGACGGUCGGACAUCGUCAGGUUAGUGCAAUGGUAUAAGCAAGCUUAACUGCGAGACAGACAAGUCGAGCAGGUGCGAAAGCAGGUCAUAGUGAUCCGGUGGUUCUGAAUGGAAGGGCCAUCGCUCAACGGAUAAAAGGUACUCCGGGGAUAACAGGCUGAUACCGCCCAAGAGUUCAUAUCGACGGCGGUGUUUGGCACCUCGAUGUCGGCUCAUCACAUCCUGGGGCUGAAGUAGGUCCCAAGGGUAUGGCUGUUCGCCAUUUAAAGUGGUACGCGAGCUGGGUUUAGAACGUCGUGAGACAGUUCGGUCCCUAUCUGCCGUGGGCGUUGGAUGAUUGAUUGGGGCUGCUCCUAGUACGAGAGGACCGGAGUGGACGCAUCACUGGUGUUCCAGUUGUCUCGCCAGAGGCAUUGCUGGGUAGCUAAAUGCGGAAGAGAUAAGUGCUGAAAGCAUCUAAGCACGAAACUUGCCAAGAGAUGAGUCAUCCCUGACUUUAAGUCAGUAAGGGUUGUUGUAGACUACGACGUAGAUAGGUUGGGUGUGUAAGUGUAGUGAUACAUUGAGCUAACCAAUACUAAUUGCCCGAGAGGCUUAACCAU